AACGCACAUUGCGCCUAAUAGUAUUCUGUUAGGCAUGCCUGUUCGAGCGUCAUUUCAACCCCCAAGCCCUAUUUGCUUGACGUUGGGAACUUACGGAGACGUAAUUCCUCAAAUAUAGUGGCGGAGCUAGGUCGUGCUCUAAGCGUAGUAACUUACAUUCUCGCUUCUGAAGCCGGCCUGGGUCUUGCCGUAAAACCCCCUAUAUUUUACUGGUUGACCUCGGAUCAGGUAGGAAUACCCGCUGAACUUAA
rnacentral:misc_RNA from 1 species